rnacentral:lncRNA from 1 species
AUUUUUAUUUUUAUUUUUGGCAAAAGUAGUUCCUUGUACAACUUAUUUGUUGACUAGGUACCGUCUUACUAAAAAUAUUUAUGGAUAGACCACACAAGAAAAUUAGAAUCAUAAGAAACCUAGCAUUAGUCAUCCAUCCAUAUAUUGAUUAUUUAUAUUAGGUAGCCCAUAGGAUAUGAUAAGAAAAGGAAUAAAAAGUCUAUAAGCUAAAAAGUGUCUUAUUGGAUUGAAACAAGUUCCAAGAACAUGAAAAAUAUGUAUUAAUACCUAUUUUGUUAAGAAUAAAUUUCAAAGAUGUUAUUAUAAACACAUUUUAUAUGUUAAAUCUAAUUUAUAGAAUGACAUUCUUAUUAUAUGUUUAUAUGAGGUUGAUCUAGUUAUUAUUAGUAAUAAUUUUUUUUUUUACAAAAAUUGAUUAUUAGUCCUUUUUAGAUAUUGAAUAUGAUAUUGAUUUUUUGUUUUUUUGAAAUUGAAAUUAUUCAAACAAAUAAUGGUAUAUUUAUUUUUUAAAAGAAAUAUACAAGUGACAUUUUUAAAAAUUCAAGUGGAAUUAUGCAAGCCUCUUAAAUUCCAAUUAAAAAAUUUUUAAAUUAGGGAAAGAUAGUUUAGGUGAGUUUGCUGAUGUUAAAAAUUUUAAAAGAAUGGCUGAGAAAUUUCUUUAUUUGACUUUUAUAAGGCUUAUAAACCUAUUUAUGGAGUCUCCAUGUUAGUCUCACUUGCAAGCAAAAAAGUAUAUCUUAUGAUACAUCAAAGAACACAAAGUGACAAUUUUCAUUUUACAAGUGACAUAAUUAAAGAAGCAAAAAACUAGUGAGUAUUUUUCUUGGUCAUCAAAGAAAUAAUAGAUGUUUGUUUUGUCAAUAACUAACAAAAGUUGAGAAUAUUGCAACUACUAGUGAUAAUGGUAUGGUUGCAUUGAAUGUUUUUUUUAAUUUAAAUGGUACUUAAGAAAUUCCUACAAGAAAUUUUUUUGUGAUAAUAAAUUCACAAUCACAUAUAAAGAAUUUAUUUAUUUUUUUCUUCAAUGAAGCAAAGAUAUUAAUAUCAAAUUCCAUGAAGAUUUGUAUCCCCAUGUGGAGUAACAUGCAUUCUAUUUUUUUUUUUUAUAAUUAGUUAAAAGGGUAUUUAACAUUACGUGUUUUCUUUGGCAAAGAUGUUUAAAAAACAUUUUUCCCAAUGGAUAGGAUUGCUAUUUUAAUAUUUUAUUAAUUUUAAAUAAUUUUUAAAAAUCAUUAUCCUUUUAUAUCGCUUUUCAAAAGAGUUCUUACAUUUAAUAUAAAAAUUAUUAUCAUUUUUCAUUCUAAAAAGAAAAUAAGAAAUAAAUCCAACCCAACACUUAAUUUUUAAAUUCCAUGGUUAUUUAAUAGAGGGUUGUUGUGAGUUUGUCCUUUGAAAAAUUCAAACCAAAUGAGAACUCUAAAUGAUCAUAUGAUAAAAUUAAAUCCAUAAUGUGAUACAUAAGCGAUCAUUUUAAGGUAAUCAAAUUAGCUUUCAAAUGGUUAUCGUGCUAAGUUCGUUUCGCGUUUUGUUUCUUCACGGUCCACAUAUCCUUGAUACUUGAAUUGUGCAUGAGCUGGCCUUUGCUAAGCAAAGGAUGUGAUUGCUGGUAGGUCAUGAUAGCUACCCACCACAUCCAGACAUUGCAUGGGUAGAUACAUUGUCAUGGUCGAGGCGUCUCCUUGCCCAACCCGCACAUGAUAUAUCUUAUUUUGGUUCCAAAAUAUUAGUAGGAAGUUAAGGAAAAUGGUCAGAUCAAUCUUUCGUCUGCACGCAUAGAUACUUCCAUGCGGGGAAAGCCACAAAACUCAGAUAAUUUUGGCCCUCCAUGAGUAAGACUGUAGAUGGGACUUGUCAGCUGGGGUGAGAAAUUAAUUGGAAGGCCUCCCCCAGAAUUUUUCAUUCAAAAUUUGUUUGGACAAGCAUGGUUCGACCACUAAACGAAUAUACGACCAAAAGGGCAACAUUGACUUACGUCCAGAUCACUUGAAUGAAUGAUGAAUAUGGAAAAUUGUGAUGCACACCUUUAUUUAAUUUAAAUUGUAUAUGCAUUUAAAAGCAAGAUUGACGUACGUCCAAAUCGCUUGUUUGAACGAAAAGGGAAAAGUGUGAUGCACACCUUUCUUUAAUUUAAAUUGUAUGUGUAAAUUUAAAAUUAAUUAAGAUUUUGUAUAUUUUUUUAUCAAAUGUAUUACCAUCAAUAGUAUUAUUUUUAAAAAAUAUAUAUACUGCCUUUUAUUAGUGAUUAGUAGGUAUACAAGACUUGAAUUAUUUUUAAAAGAUUUUUAUUUUAUGUUCUUUUCAGCAUUAAAAAAUAACAUCAUGUGUAAAUACCUAAUGCAUUUGGGUGGUACCUAAAUUUCAAAAAUAAAAAAUAAUUGGAUUUAGUAUGAUUAGAAAAAUAAUUCACAAAUUUUGAAUAAAAUCCAUAAAAAACAAACAAAAUAUUUUAUAAGAUGUAUUUAGAAAAGUAAUUCACUAGUUUUAAAUAAAAUCCAUAAAAAACAAACAAAAUAUUUUAUAAGAUGUAUUUAAUAUUAUUAUUAGUUUCUUAUCCUAACCUAUUUUUCAUUCCUUCAAUAAAUUAAAUUUUAAAUUUUAAAUGUUUUUAUUUAUUUAUGUGAAUUUUUUUUAUUUUCACUAUUUUUAAAAUUUAAAGUUUUUAAUUUUUUGUUUUAUUAUAUGAUUCUUGUGUACCAGAGAUGUGACCCACGAGUAUAAAUGGGUGGUUAUAGGAGAGCGAAAGGAAUAGACCCAUCAAAAUAUUUCACUGGUAAGAGGCCAUUUUGGGCCCAACAGUAGACCUAAAGCAAACACAGGAGCCACACGGAGUUACAUGGGUCGACGGUCUUGGCAGAACUGGCCGUGAUGUGAUCGCUUGAGGCAUUUGAACCACCGGAAAUGAGUCUUAUGACUUGACAGAUAUGAUGUUGAUACAUGGAAAAAUCUCUAGGGUAUUGAAUAGAUAGCUACCCAACUUUUAAUUUGGACCAUGCAGCUGUGUACGAUUGCUAAACCAACGUACACAUAGGGAUGGCAAUGGGGCAGGUUUUUUCGGGUACCCGCCCCGCCCUGCCCCUAAUGGGACGGGGAUCAAUUUUAAUAACCGGGUUUGGAACGGGUUUGGAAAAAAUUUUUAAAACCCGGGACGGGUUCGGGUAUUGCCUCACCCGCCCCGCCCCGCCCCGCCCUGCCCCGUUUAUAACAUAUAAUAUAUAUUCUACACAUCCCCCAUCUCCCAUAUCCAUUCAUACCCUCAUAAUCGGGUUCAGGGUGGUCCUCAACUGCUUCAGCAGAGCAGAUUUAAAAUCAACAGAGGAGAGAAGAUCCUGUCAUGUAGAGAAAUCAAGAGUGAAAUUGGAAGAAUUAGAAGGAAUAGGCACAGAAUCAACAAAUGCAGUAUGGUUCCAAAGAGAGAAGAGACUCAACUGUUGCUGCCUCAACAAAUACAAAGCUCACAAUUCGGAUUCCCUCAUACGAUCAGUGGGAGAAUCGGCUUUAACGAUGGAAAUACUGGUGGUAAAUAAGUUUCGAACAUCUGUGGUGAAAUAAAUGGAAAUACGAUCAGUGGUAUUUUCUAGUUUUGUGGUUGAAUGUGCUAAAUUUUGCAUAUUGUCACACAUAAAUUUAAUUAGGGCUAGCUUAGAUUCGAGGUAUGAUUGAUGGGUUUUGGAAACGCAUCUGACAAUCACACCCAAAAUUUCCCUCACACCACAAAGGCCCGGAAUGCGAAAACCAGUUUUCCGAAAACCCACAACAACAACUUGAGAAAAAUCUACACUUUGCCCUACUUCCUACACCUAGCGACCAUGAAACUCAGAGGAAAAGAGAGGGGGGAAGAUGGCGAAGAGGUACCUCUUAUUGAAGGAGAAACGAUGAGCAGAAAUUCCAGACUUGACAUCCUCGAUCUGGAAGCCGGAUUGAUGAGGGAGCUUCCGCUUAUGUUUGUCGAUUAGGUUUUGUCGAUCCUCCUCAUCGUCGGAAGAUUCUCUCUCCAUUUCGAAACGCAAUGCCGAAAUGCCCAAAGGCCUGAUUCAAUUUCAAAGAAUGGAGAGUGAGUUUAUGUAUGUAUUUAGAAAAUCAAAGAGGAAAGUUAAGCGGGGCGGGUAUGGGAAUUUAUCAUACCCGUCCCGCCCGCCCCGCCCCGUUUAAAUUUUUAAAUGGGACGGGGAUGGGAAUUAUUUUAAAUAAACGGGGCGGGGUUGGGAUGGGGGCGACCCGUCCUGAACCCACCCCGUUGCCAUCCCUACGUACACACAUAUGGUGAAGGACCACACCAUGCAGACGUGUCCGGAAUGAUAAACGAACAUGCGCACAUACGGUGAGGGUUUUAACGAAAACAACACACAAACCCAUGGUGAGAGUUUAAAUGAAAGAUAUCGAUAAUAUUUUUCAAAACUAUCAUUCUAAGAUAGAUAGAUAAAAAAAAUAAAAAAAAUCUCCUUAUAUUUGAAAUUGUUCAAACCCAUUUUUAAAGAGGAAAUUAUUCAAACUCAAGUCUUGUUAUUUAUUUAAUUUUGUAACAAAUGAUGUUUUUAAUUAAUUUUAUUAUGAUGUUUUUAACAAACGGUGUUUUUAAUUUUGUAAGAAAAGACUGAAAUUCAAUUUCUUUCGUUUCAAAUUUUAUUAAUGAAAGUCUUUUCCUUUAGAAUAUUGCUCUAAACACAACAAAAAAAAUCACCAUCAAAUUCAUAAUCAUUUUAAUAAGGGUCAAACAAAAGCAGUUAAUUUUGAAAAUAAAUCAAACCAUCAAUAUCAAAUGACUCAUCAUAUUUCAAAUAAAUCCAAAAUUCGAUAAUAUUUUUCAAAAUUAUCAUUAUCGAAAGCUUUCAAUUUUUCUAAUGUAGAUAAAAAAAAAUUCAAACCUAUCUCUAAAGAGGAAAUUGUUCAAACUCAAAUCUUGUUGUUCAUUUAAUUUUGUUACAAGUGAUGUUCUUAAUUAAUUUUAUUAUUAUUGAUUUUUUUUAAUGCUUUCAUUUUAACUUCCUCUUAGGUGCAAGAGAAUGAAAGGAUUGAAAUUCAAUUUCUUUCAUUUCAAGUUCUAUUAAUCGAAAUUCUUUAAUUAAUUGACCCCGUGCCUUAGCUCAUGGUGCAACAGCUCCUGAUCAGAGCCACAAGAAGCACCAGUUUGACUUGGGAGCGGUGAUUUUGUAGCAGUGGAUGCACAGUAACUUUGUUGUUGCCUGUUCCGAUUGAUGCAUAUCAUUGGGUUUUGUUGACAAACUGUAAACAAACUUCUGAUAAACCUAAAAGAGGCUCAAUGAGUAGAGACAGAAUCUGAGCCUUUGUUUCACGAUCAGGAAUUUCGAGCCCAUCUCCAUAUUGCAAUGUUCGUGAUGAUAUUGACAAUUGGUUGCAAUAAUGGAGAUGGGGCGAUGCAGUGUCCAUUAAUAUUCUUCCAAGUUUAAACUAUCGUGCCUCUAAGGUGCUUCCUAGAUAUCUCCUCUGAGACAUUCACUUCUUUCAUGUACCAUCAAUAUUUUGAAUGUUUAUUUUGUGAAAACAUUAUUUAUAAGCUUUCAUUGAUGACCAAUUAUACGAGUAUUUCAUGCCCAGAUAGCCUCACAUGUCCAUGACAAAUGAAAGCAACAAGCCUAACGAGCCAUAUGUGUUCAAAUUGAUGAAUGGUAGUUUUUCAUUCAUACUUUCUUUCGUUCAUGUACAGAGUAUAUAUAGAGGGUAAUCACCAUUCUAAGAAUGGGAAAGGAUGAUACAAGAAAAGAAUAAUAUAAGGAAAUAACAACUAAUAUCCUAAUAUCUCAACUUUCCUAAUAUCUCAAUAUUCAUAAUAUCUUAACUUUCCUAAUAUCUAAACACUAAAUGAUAUAAGGAAAUAAUGAUAUAAGGAAAGCAUUCCUAAUAUCUCAACACUCCCCCUCAAGUUGGUGCAUAGAUGUAACACAUGCCCAACUUGUCUAAAAAUUUUUGAGAAUACUUGACUUGAGACAGCUUUGGUGAGGAUAUCGGCUAACCAAUCUUGUUUUCCACCUUGGAUCAACUAAGGCUUCCUGCACACACCAUAAUCUGUAGCGGCUAUCAAUGCAGAGGCUUUCUCAUCAACAUUAGCCUCUGUUUUUAUUUCGGCAAUAGCUGCAGUCGAGGUUUUCUUGGAAUCCUUCUUCCGUUGAUCACGAUUGUGAUUCCACCAGUCUGGAUAUCCCACAAUUUCAAAGCAACGACUCUUGGUAUGACCAGUCUUAUUGCAGUGAGUGCAUUUGAAGGUUGACUUAUCAAUAUUAGGGUCUGUCUUAGGAUGGUUGGUCUUGAAUUGGUCCUGCCAAUUUCAGGUUAAUUGUUGUCGAACUACCAUAGCUGAGGUGUCAGGGUUGUCAAAUUCUGCUUUCAUACUAGCAUGACGUACUACCUCUCGUCAAAUCAGUGCAUAGCAUUCUUCCAAAUCGGGAAAAGGAUCUUUGCGUAGAAUCUCUCCUCGAACUUGCUCAAAGUCACCACCCAAUCCAGCAAGAAAGAUGUGCACCCGUUGUCGUUCAAUGGAUUUCCGGUAUGCUGCAAUGUCUUCAAGGUCUUUCAUGACUACCUUAUCCCGAUGAUCCAAUUCGCAAAAAAGUUCAAUUAACUCUCCAUAAUAUUCAGAAAGAGACCUGCCGUUUUGUUUGGCAGUGAAGGCUUUUUGAUUCAAAGUGAAAACUUGUAAUUCAUCACUUCCAUCAUAGAAGGCCUUUGAUAAUGCACUCCAAAUUUUUUGAGCGGUGGGUAAGCGUAAGUAACGCUUCAUAAUUUCUGGACUCAUGGACAUUAACAACCAUCUCUUCACCUUUUGAUUCUCAGCAUACCAUUUUUCAUAUCCAUCUUCUGACUCUUUUGGUAGAUUUGUCUUACCUCGGAUGUAGAAAAGUUUUUCCCGUUCGGCAAUAUGCAUCUCCACGAGUUGUGACCAAACGUCAUAGUUUGAUUCAGUCAAAAUAAUUCCUGGAUUGAAAGUACCUUCAGAUUGAAAAACAAUAGUACUUUUUUCACUCAUUUUUUUUUCUCUCGCAAAGGAGGGGCAAUUGUUGGCCUUACGACAAAAUAUCCAGGAUUUCAGUUCCCUGGCUCUGAUACCAUGUUCAAAUUGAUGAAUGGUAGUUUUUCAUUCAUACUUUCUUUCGUUCAUGUACAGAGUAUAUAUAGAGGGUGAUCAUCAUUCUAAGAAUGGGAAAGGAUGAUACAAGGAAAGAAUAAUAUAAGGAAAUAACAACUAAUUGUGGACUCGCAUUUUUCACGUGCGUCCCCACUCGAUCGACGAGACUCGCUUUUUAUUUGUGAAAAAUUAAUUUUUGGAAAAAAGUUGGAGUCGCCACUUAUUUUAUUUUUAUUUUUGAAGGGAAAAUAAAACAAGAAAUAAAACCCUAAGAAAUGACUCCAUGAAUUUUGGAAAAGCGUGUCUUUGAAAAACCCGAGUCUAAGUCCGGGGAUCAGGUUACCUAUUAGGAAGGUACCUUUAAAAGGUAGCACCCCUCUAAGCCCUCUAAAGGUCUCUAUUAACUAAAUUAAGGGAAAUGUGGCAAUUAAUAUAUUAAUUAUAAGUACCUAAGUAGACUAGGUGAUUCCAAAUAAAAUAGCAUGUCAAACAAGAUCAAAUCACAAUAAAGGAAGGUUAGGAUGCUUACCUGGACUGCUUCUCAAGUGCUAUCAUAAAACAUCAAUGGUUAAUUUAAACAAUAUAUCAUCUAGCAUGUAUUUUAUUGGAAAUAAUCAAACAAUGAAACAUGUAUAUCAGAACACUCAAGCAUUAUUAGACAUAAGCAUUAUUUCACAAUGACAAGCAUAUUCACAGAAUUCAGAAAGUAGGUGAUAUGGGACAUACCUGGAUAGCAUAGAUAAUUUGUAACGUGCUUCCUCAAGUUGUAAGGGGUUAGAUAACAAAUAAUAAAAAUAUAGAAAUCCUAGCAUGCUCGUUAUCUAAUUAGCAUAGCAAAAGUGAUCAAAGUACACAGAAUCAUCAAUUAUCACGUACAUCUUGUAUAUAAUUCCUAAAAAAAAUAAAUAGACAUGAUUUCAACAAGUGUCAAAUGUGGCAACAAAAAUAAAUUUUAUUUUCUUAUGUAGGGGUUUCACCAAUUCCCCAAAUUAAUAUACACGAAUUUAGCCUAGAAUUAUCCCAUUUAUUUGGGACCUACAAGCUUUGAUUCGUGUUUUUGUUCAAAACCAAAAUUUUUGUUGAAAACUGAGAAGGAUGCGAACCGAACAAGAUAUGGUUGCAUAUUAUUUUUAAAUAAAUAAAAAAAAAAGAUUUUGAUCCUGAGGACUCUAAUGAAUUUUUUUGAAAUAGAUUUUUAAAAUGAUUUUUUUGAGAGAAGUAUUUUAUUUUAAAAUAAAAGGGAUUAAUUUGGGAAAAAAUAAAAUAUAAGAAAUAAAAUACCAAACAAAACAAAAAUGAAACCUCAAAGUAAAAUUUUUUUAGUAAUUAACAAAAAUGAUCAUGGUGAUGGUAGAGGCCCAUCUUCAUGAUUUUCCAAUGGCCUCAGAAAGAAAAUCAAAUUAAAUGAAGGAUCACUAACAGGCAAGACAUUCUAAAUUAGACAAACUAACAAAGUAUCAAUUCAUGAACUAACCGCUAGGGUUUUAAAAGCAUAUAAGCUAAGAUAAGGUUGAUCAGGAACUAAUAUUAAUGAUUUUGAAAUAAAAACUAAAAAAGGAUCAAUUCGGGUAAGGAACUAAAAUUAUGGAAAUACCUAAACUAAUUAUAAUGAGUUUGACUAAAUUAAACUAAAAACAUGAACUUUCAAACAUAGAAUUAAUUUUACUAAUGAACCAAAGCGAACUAAAAAUAUGUACUUUCAAGCAUGGAAUGAAUUUUAUUGAUGAACCAAAAAUUGUGAAAGUGUCUAAACUAAAUAGAUGAAUUAAAUUAAAUCAAAGUACACUAAAAACAUGGACUUUUAAAUAAAAAAUCAAUUUUAUCAAUAAGCUAAUAAAACUAUAAAAACACAUAAACUAAUUAAAAUGAACGAAAUUAAAUCAAAGAGUACUAAAAAUAUGAACUUUCAAACAUGGGAUCAAUUUUACUAAUGAAUUAAAACUAUAAAAACACCUAAAAAUAAUGAAUAUAAAUUAUUAAAUCAAAGCAAACUAAAAACUGAAACUUUCAAACAUGGGAUCAAUUUCAUUAAUGAACUAAACUAUAACAAAUAUCUAAACUAAAUAUAAUGAAUCAAAUAUUAAAUUAAAGCAACCUAAAAACGCAAACUUUCAAACAUAGAAUCAAUUUUAUCAAUGAACUAAAACUAUAAAUGUAUUUCAACUAAAUAGAUGAAUUAAACCAAAUCAAAAGUAAACUAAAGACAUGAACUUUUAAUAUAGAAUCAAUUUUAUUAAUGAACUAAAAUUAUAAAAGUAUCUAAACUAAUUAAAAUGAAUCACAUUAAAUCAAAGAAUACUAAAAAUAUGAACUUCCAAACAUGGGAUCAAUUUUAUUAAUAAACUAAAACCAUAAAAACACCUAAAAUAAUGAAUACAAAUUAUUAAAUCAAAGCAAACUAAAAAAAAAAAACUGAAACUUUCAAACACGGGAUCAAUUUUAUUAAUGAACUCAACUAUAAAAAAAUAUCUAAACUAUAAUGAAUCAAAUUAAAUUAAAGUAACCUAAAAACGCAAACUUUUAAACAUAAAAUCAAUUUUAUCAAUGAAUUAGAACUAUAAAUGUAUUUGAACUAAAUAGAUGAAUCAAACUAAAUCAGAGUAAACUAAAAAAAAUGAACUUUCUAACAUGAAAUCAAUUUUAUCAACAAAUAAAUGAAUGAAUAACAAGUAAUUAAAAGAAUAGCUAAUACAUGGAUAACUGAAUGAAUAAAAUUCAAACGUUUUCAAUCUGAAGCAAUCAAUCAAAAUUAAAUAGGGAUCAAAUCAAAAUAAUCAAAAUCGGAAAAACAAUAUGCAAUCUUUCUAAAGGUUUAACCAGACAAUUGAAUUAAAAUUAUGAAUAGAAUAAAUUAAUAAACCAAAUCGAAACCUAAAUUGUACCUAAAAAGAUUAAUUAAUUAAACUAAGAAAUCAAAAUCAAUAACAAAACUAAACUAAGGAGUAAAUUAAGACAAGACUAAUUAAAUUAAACUCACAAACACGUUUUGACUAUCAUAUGGAUUAAAACAAAAUUAGCAUGGACUUAUGAAUUACGAACAAAAAUAAUCAAAACUAUUUCAAAAACUCACCUCUAUUAUAAGAAAAAAUCUGCCUUUGAUGCGUUAAGGUGGCUCCCCUCUUGUGUGGAUCUCUCUGCUCCCCCCGAAAGAAAAAAAUCUCUUCCUCUUUCUCCUUCUAAAAACCCAGAAAUCCCUCCUUUGCUCCAGAAAAAUAAUCCUCUCCGUGUGGAUCUCUAAAAAAAUCCUCUCCCUUAAGAAAAAGGUCUUUCGUGCCUCGAUCUCUAUGCUAAAGAAAAAAAUAUCUUUUCCUCCUGCCCCAUCUCUCUGAAAGAACUCACGCCCUUCUCCUUCUCCAGCCAAAAAAUCCUCAUCUUAUUUAUAUGGCAGCCCCUCUUUAUAUGGCUGCGUGAGGAUCUCCAAGAUUCCCCUUAGUACAGCCAGCAUGUAGCGAUCCUCUUCUUAUGGGAAGUAGGAAUUUUUUAUGGUAGCCUCUCCAUCAUUGAAUAUUCUAUUUCCUUUUUUGAAUGCAUGUGGAUAUGGGAAGUGAUGUAUGCGUGACUUACCUAGCAAUUUCUUCAAGGAUGCAGCCCAUGUUGUUUGGUAAGUGACCGAAUCCUGGUAAUUACAAUAUCAGUCGUUGAUUAGAGUGACCGAGUUGGAAGUUGCAGGGGCCUUAUCCUGUACUACCACACAAUGGAGCAUCUACAUUGUAACACACGCGUCACCGGAAAACCAAUGAACACUCUGGCAGCUCACCAAGAUCGACGAACAAAGACUCUUCUUCUUUUCCCAUGGCGAAUAGCUGUAUCGGGAUCUCUGGAUGUUGCCUUUCCGUUUCUUAUACACCAAACAAACUAGUCCCAGCAUAGCAACAUAAGUGAUGACUCCAAGUGCUAACUCAGCCUUUCGUCCACCUUUGAGUCCAUCGGAUGACUCUCUCUUCUCUCCAGCUAUGUUCUCAGUACUCGUGUGCUGAACAUUCCUAGCAUUAAACAAAAAGGGUGUAAAAGAGAGCGUCGGCACUGGAAAUGAGUCAAACAAAGGCAACAGAGAAGAUUCCAAUUCUAGUGGUGGCGUCGACGACGAUCUAAAAUACGGAGAUGAUGAAUGAGCGGUUGGCGAAAAUGGCGGAGACAAUGCAUAUGGCGAUGGAGUAACAUCGUCAGCAUUGCUUUCAGGCGUAAGCGACGACUCUGGCGGAUCUAUGGCGACCACGAACUCCACUAAAAGCAAAACCAAAGUAAGCGCAAUGCAGAAUCAGGACAAUCUCGCCAAGAAUUCUCGAGAAUUCCAAAACGGUUGUGAUCUCUUGUUCUCUUAGAAAAAUGAAUAUCCAAAGGCAAAUGGUGAUUCCAUCCUUGAGUAUGAAGAUCUUGAAGCUCCAAAAAUGGGUAUCUGAUGAUCCUUUCUCACUGUCGAUGGACCACCAUGGAUGUGAUGAAUGUUGCUUUCUGAUGAUGAUGAACUCUAAUGGUUGUGAUGAAUAUCUAUAAACGAACCAGUGGGCUUCAAUGGUGGUGAACUACGCCGGCAGCUAUGAACUUGUCUUUUUCAAUGCAGAAUUCAAGAAAACGCCCAAAAGUCCUUCUGUCGGUGUUGUGGCUCCUUUUUAUACCAGCAUCAGAAGUCAUUGGAACUCCAGCUGUCAUUCAUUCUUAGGCAUGGUGUGCAUGUUCCCAUGUUCACGUGUUCUUCACACCAGAUCAUCUCCUCUAGAGACUUUCAGAGAACCUCUAAAAAAUGCGUGACCUCACCACCUCCUCACAUGACAACUCUCACCAACUUCAUAUUUGUUUUCAUAGGAGCCACUCAUUCCUAAAUAUGCAAUUCGUCUCCUCAUGCAAAACAAAAUAAAAUAAAAUUAAAAAUUAAAAGAAAAUGGAAGAAACUAAUGAAAAUCAUGAGAUUGAUAAUAAAAGAGAAGAUUAUUAAAAAGAAAAGAAAAAAAAAAGAGACCAAAUUAUAUAAUUCAAUAAUUUAAUAAAGGAGUCACAUGCAUAUUUAAAGUCCAAACAAUUCAAGCAACUUUCUAUUAAAUAAGUAAAAAAAUAAAUAAAUAAAAUAAAAUAUAAUUAUUAAAUGCAUGCAAUAAUAAUAAUAAGAUUAUAUAAAAAAGUUAAAAGUGCUUAAAUAGGCCUAAGGUGGUGCCUAAUGGGCCAAGUGUAUCUAAAUGGGCUUAAGGUGCCUAAGUGGGCCUAACAAGGAAGGGGAAAAAAAACACCUAAGUCUAAAUUAAGGUUGCCCAGAAUCACAAUGGGUCCGAUGAGUCCCUCAACCAAAAUCUCCAAGGUGGCUUAGAAAAGAUAAACUACAUGAUCAGUAAUGGGCCACCAGGGAAUUGUUGUAAAGUAUCAAGCAAACAUGUAAUAGGACAUGUGCUAGGAGGACAAAAUUGAAGGUCUACACUAAUAUCCUAAUAUCUCAACUUUCCUAAUAUCUCAAUAUUCCUAAUAUCUCAAUAUUCAUAAUAUCUUAACUUUCCUAAUAUCUAAACACUAAAUGAUAUAAGGAAAUAAUGAUAUAAGGAAAGCAUUCCUAAUAUCUCAACAAUAUGCUCCGGCAAUGAUCCUGACCAAAGGGAAAUUUCCCCUAGGUAGCAAUGCUUACCAGAAUUUUGAACCUUCAACUAGUCUAGACAAAGGUCGUGAAACACGACCUAAGAUAACAACAGGAACGUGCAUGGACUGACUUCUUUAUCAUAUGAUUUAAAGCUGUGACAUGUUUGAAUUUUUCAAAUGAGAAACUCACAAUAGCACUCUCUUAAAUAAAAGUGAAGUUUAAAAAUUAAUUCUUAUAUAUUGAUUUAAGUGNNNNNNNNNNNNNNNNNNNNNNNNNNNNNNNNNNNNNNNNNNNNNNNNNNNNNNNNNNNNNNNNNNNNNNNNNNNNNNNNNNNNNNNNNNNNNNNNNNNNUAUAUUCUCUACUCUUGUUAACUACUGAAAAUUUUAGAAUUUAUGUUACUAAUAUGCAUGAGGGAAACAAAUUAACUGAUGAUAAAAAUGCGUCUUUUUGAGCCCAAAAAGUGUGGAUGAAUGUUGAAGGAGCUGAGGCCCAUGCAUGCAAAGUGAAGAUGACGUUUUUUGUGAUAAACAUGUUUGUUUUUGAGCGACAAUAGAGCGGAUACAUAUUAAAAGAGAGUGCAUGCAUCUCGCUCCCUCUAUUCUACCACAUUAGUCAAAUGAUUCAGCUUUCCUAUUCUUUGAUCGUAUUUGCUUUUCAAUGUCACAACUCACUGUCAAUGCAAAAUUUAAAUACCUAAAAUUUAGAUUAUGUGUAUUUUUCCUCUCUUUUUUUAUAUGUUCUUUUUAAAUAUUUUCAAUUAUUUUUCCUCUCUUUUUUUAUAUGUUCUUCUUAAAUAUUUUCAAUUAUUUUUUAAGAAAAAUUGAUCAUCAAAUAAUCGACUCUAUAUUUCAAAUACUUUUUUUUAGCUAAAUAAUUUGAUAUUUUAUUUUAUACAUAUGACAAUAAUCAUAAGUAUUUAGAUUCUGAGUUUUCCUAUAACUUUAAUUUAAGUGAAACAUUGUAUCAUCGCGUCAAUAGGAUGGAGAUGGAGACAUGGAUGACUUAUUGGACUCACUUUCAUGUUGAACGCUUGAACGCUUUCGUGGCUCUUGGUGAAGAGAAGCAAAUAGAAAACAUCUUUCCUAAGGCGUCCCUUUCUUCUAGGGGGUCCUCAGGAACGUGUAGAAACAGUUACCGUCUAUAUCAUGUUACCAUCAAAGAAGUCAUUCCAUGCGCGUUCCUGUUCCUGUCGUGAUCGAUCCAAUUAGAUCGUGUCUCACGGCCUUUGACUAGACUAGUUGACGAUUCAAAAUUAAUUCUGGUAAGCAUUGCUACCUCCGGGAAUUUUCCCUUUGUUCAGGAUCAUUUCCGGAGCAUACGUAUUGUUGCUUUCAAUUGUUUCUUUCUUCAAUUAUACUGCAUGGACAUGUGGGGCUAUCUGGGCAUAGAAAUCUUGAUAUAAUCGGUCGUCGUCAAUGAAAGCUUAUAAGAAAUGUGGUGAUGCUGCUUCUAAUAGGCAGAAAUAGAGAGAGGUGAUGCUGCUUAUAUGAAAGAAGUGAAUGUCUCAGAGGAGAUAUCUCGGAAGCAUCGCCCCAUCUCCAUUACUGCAACCGAUUGUCAAUAUCAUCACAAACAUUGCAAGGGUAGCACAGUGGAUUUACCAAUAUGGAGAUGGGCUUGGAAUUCCUGGAGUUUAGGGUAAAAAUGGUCCAUUUAAAAAAAAAAAUGUAAUAUCUAACCACUUUUUGAAACUUAUGUUCAAAGUGACGUCUUUGGUGCCACGUAGGCCCCAUAUCAUUAAAUUUUUUUUUCUUCAUCAUUUUAGUUAAAACCAUAGUUGGCAAAUGCGGUUUCAUAUUUGAAUUAAAGCAACUAAAGUCGUAGUUGACAGCUACGGUUUCAUUUUUUAACUAAAGCCGUAGUUGGUAACUACGGCUUUAGUUAAUUUUUUUUAAUUUAAAAUUUAAGUAAAAUUAUUAAAUUAUAAUUUAUUAUUGAAAUUUAAAAAAUAUACUUAAAUAAUAAAUUAUUUAUAUUUAAAUUUAAAAAUCUAGUUACACAUAGGUUCCAUGUGAGAUUAUAUAUGUUUUUUAUUUUCCACUACAUUAAUAUUUAGUGAAUAUUUUUUGUGACUUUAAUUAAACUAUUAAAAAUUACAUUUUGUAGUAGACUUGUUGUAAUUAAUUUCAUUAACUAAUUUUGUAAAAAAAUCUAUAUAUGACAACUACGGCUUAAGAGUAUACUAUUAUUUCAAUAAAGAUAAAUUUGUCAUAAUACAAAUAAAUUAAUAUUUUAAAAAACAACAAAUUAAAUAUUUUAAAUUAAUAAAUUAUAAAAUUUUAUAUAUUAUUUUUAUGUUAUAUAAGUUUAUUAUUUUAAGAUUAUUAAUUUAUUAAUAAAUAAAGCAUUCAUUUAUAAUAUCUUCUAUUUAUUAAUUUAUGUUUAUUGAACUAAUACUAAAUUCUUAAGUUUAAAUAUAAAUAAUUUAUUAUUAAAGUAUAUAUUUUUAAUUUCAAUAAUAAAUUAUAAUUUAAUAGUUUUUAAUUAAAUUUGAAAGUAAAAAAAAAUUAUAAUUGAAAUCUCAGUUACCAACUACGACUUAAAAGUAUACUAUUAUUUCGAUAAAGAUAAAUUUAUCAUAAUACAAAUAAAUUAAUAUAUUAAAAAACAACAAAUUAAAUAUCUUAAAUUAAUAAAUUAUAUAAUUUUAUAUAUUAUUUAUAUGUUAUAUAAAAUUAUUAUUUUAAGAUUAUUAAUUUAUUAAUAAAUAAAAUAUUCAUUUAUAAUAUCUUCUAUUUAUCAAUUUAUGUUUGUUGAAGUAAUACUAGAUUUUGAAGUUUAAAUAUAAAUAAUUUAUUAUUUAAGUAUAUUUUUUAAAUUGUAAUUUAAUAGUUUUAAAUUAAAUUUGAAAGUAAAAAAAAAAAUUAUAAUUGAAAUCUCAGUUAUCAACUGCGGCUUAAAUGUAUACUAUUAUUUCGAUAAAGAUAAAUUUAUCAUAAUACGAAAUAAAUUAAUAUUUUAAAAAACAACAAAUUAAAUAUCUUAAAUUAAUAAAUUAUACAAUUUUAUAUAUUAUGUAUAUGUUAUAUAAGUUUAUUAUUUUAAGAUUAUUAAUUUAUUAACAAAUAAAAUAUUCAUUUAUAAUAUCUUUUAUUUAUCAAUUUAUGUUUGUUGAAGUAAUACUAAAUUUUUAAAUUUAAAUAUAAAUAAUUUAUUAUUUAAGUAUAUUUUUUAAAUUUCAAUCAUAAAUUAUAAUUUAAUAAUUUUUAAUUAAAUUUUAAAUUUUAAAAAAAAUUAACUAAAGCCGCAGUUAGCAACUGCAGCUUUAGUUCAAAUAUGAAGCCGCGGUUGUCAACUGCGGCUUUAGUUCAAAUAUGAAACCGUAUUUAUCAAUUACGGUUUUAACUAAAAUGAUGAAAAAAAAAUAUUUUUUUAAUGAUAUGACGUUACAUGCCACCAAAGAGGUCACUUUGAAUAUAAGUUUCAAAAAGUUACUAGAUGUUAUAUAUAUUUUUUUAAAAUGGGCCGUUUUGACCCAAAACUCGAAUUCCUAAUCGUGAAACGAAGGCUCAGAUUCUGUCCCUACUCAUUGAACCUCUUUUAGGUUUGUCAGAAGUACGUUUACUGUUUGUCAACAAAAGCCAAUGAUAUGCAUCAAUCGGAACAGCCACCAACAAAGUUACGGUUGCCUUCUGCUUGUAAUUGGCUUUAUUUAUUUAUUUAUUUUUUUCAGUUUCAGGUGAUCGCGAUGACUGCUAACUUGGGGUGCGCUUGUUGUAGGCAAAAAGUCUUCCAACUUACUUCAAGGAUGACCGGUGAGAAUUCAAUAUAUCCUACCAUUGAAAUUGGAUUUUAGAAGAAACCAAUAUGGAUUUUCAAAACCUGAUUGAAAAUAAGUCAUGUAGGGAAGGUAAAAAACAGUUGAUUUCCAUAAGGUUGGGGUAGUAGAGGAUGAAUUUGGGUUCUGAAAUUUUGUAAUUGAUUUUUGCAGGAUUAAGAGAGUACACAGUGGACGUACGUAACAAGCGAGUGAUAGUAAAGGGAGAUGUCAAAGUUAGAUGGAACACAAGAACUGAGAGUCUCAAAGGCAAAAUGAA